GUUUCCCGGGGCAGAGGCCAGACUGAGUCAGUGAAUUUUGCGGCGGUGCCUCCCUCUUUAUUUUUGGCUGUGGCCUGUUUGCACAGGCUUCCUGUGUGGCAGUUGCUGACCUUUGGCAGCCAAACCACCGGCCCAAGGGGACAUUCUUCCUUCACUAACUCAGACCUGAGGGUCAAAGAAUGAGACAGGCUGAGCCCAGGUGAUGACGGAGGGGGGAGUUGACCUGGGAAACAUGUUAGAAUCUGAGCCUGGCCAGAGAGGGAGACAGGCUCUGAAAGCUGUUGGCAACAGGCUCAAAAGGGUGUAAGUGAAAGACCGAGAUUCGUCAAGCAAGCACAUUGAUACAAAGGCUUGGGGAAGCCAAAGUGGCUACAUUGUAUCUGAACUUCUGACUAGAUGGAAUCCCCCAGUCCCUGGUUGAAGCAUUCUCUGGGAACAAGAGACAACUAGGGAGGCACUCAAGUGACUCUACUGGAUCACAUUAUGCUAAUCGUCUUUCGUCUGUGAGAACAGUGUCUACAGUGCUUGCGUUGGCGUUGGACUCACCAGGAUGUGACUUCAUCAUGUUCAGUUACACAGGAGCUCGGAAAGGCAGGUCCCAAAGCCGACAACUGUGUUCAGCAG
rnacentral:lncRNA from 1 species